rnacentral:rRNA from 1 species
AGUGAACGCUGGCGGUAGGCCUAACACAUGCAAGUCGAACGGCAGCACAGUAAGAGCUUGCUCUUACGGGUGGCGAGUGGCGGACGGGUGGGGAAUACAUCGGAAUCUACUUUUUCGUGGGGGAUACGUAGGGAAACUUACGCUAAUACCGCAUACGACCUACGGGUGAAAGCAGGGGAUCUUCGGACCUUGCGCGAUUGAAUGAGCCGAUGUCGGAUUAGCUAGCUGGCGGGGUAAAGGCCCACCAAGGCGACGAUCCGUAGCUGGUCUGAUAGGAUGAUCAGCCAGACUGAAGCUGAGAGACGGUCCAGACUCCAACGGGAGGCAGCAGCGGGGAAUAUUGGACAAUGGGCGCAAGCCUGCUCCAGCCAUACCGCGUGGGUGAAGAAGGCCUUCGGGUUGUAAAGCCCUUUUGUUGGGAAAGAAAAGCAGCAGGUUAAUACCCCGCUGUUCUGACGGUACCCAAAGAAUAAGCACCGGCUAACUUCGUG